UACAGAGGGUGCGAGCGUUGUUCGGAAUUAUUGGGCGUAAAGGGUGCGUAGGCGGUCCGCCAAGUGCUUUGUGAAAUCCCACAGCUCAACUGUGGAACAGCAGGGCAAACUGGAGGACUUGAGGCAGGUAGGGGCUGGAAGAACAGUUGGUGGAGCGGUGAAAUGCGUAGAUAUCAACUGGAAUGCCGAUGGGGAAGCCGUCCAGCUGGGCCUGUCCUGACGCUGAGGCACGAAAGCGUGGGGAGCAAACAGG
rnacentral:rRNA from 1 species